UACGUAGGGGGCUAGCGUUGUCCGGAAUCAUUGGGCGUAAAGAGCGUGUAGGCGGCUUGUUAAGUCUUGCGUGAAAUCUCGGGGCUCAACCCCGAGCGGUCGUGAGAAACUGGCAGGCUAGAGUGCGGGAGAGGAGAGUGGAAUUCCUGGUGUAGCGGUGAAAUGCGCAGAUAUCAGGAAGAACACCCGUGGCGAAGGCGGCUCUCUGGAACGCAACUGACGCUGAGACGCGAAAGCGUGGGGAGCGAACAGG
rnacentral:rRNA from 1 species